UACGUAGGUGACAAGCGUUGUCCGGAUUUACUGGGCGUAAAGAGCGCGCAGGCGGUCGAUCAAGUCGAGUGUGAAAGCCCCCGGCUCAACUGGGGAGGGUCAUUCGAUACUGAUCGACUCGAAGGCAGGAGAGGGUAGUGGAAUUCCCGGUGUAGUGGUGAAAUGCGUAGAUAUCGGGAGGAACACCAGUGGCGAAGGCGACUACCUGGCCUGUUCUUGACGCUGAGGGGCGAAAGCGUGGGGAGCGAACGGG
rnacentral:rRNA from 1 species